rnacentral:rRNA from 1 species
AUUGAACGCUGGCGGCAGGCCUAACACAUGCAAGUCGAACGAGUGGCGGACUGGUGAGUAAUGUCUGGGCACCUGGCUGAUGAAGGGGGCUAACUAGUGGAAAAGGUAGCUAAUACCGCAUACCAUCAGAUGUGCCCACAUGGGAUUGGCUUGUUGGUGGGGUAACGGCUUACCAAGGCGACUAUCCCUAGCUGGUCUGAGAGGAUGACCAGCCACACUGGGACUGAGACACGGUCCAGACUCCUACGGGAGGCAGCAGUGGGGAAUAUUGGACAAUGGGCGAAAGCCUGAUGCAGCCAUGCCGCGUGAAUGAAGAAGGCCUUCGGGUUGUAAAGCACUUUCAGCAGGGAGGCGUUACCUGCAGAAGAAGCACCGACUAACUCCGUGCCAGCAGCCGCGGUAAUAC